AUACGAGGGGUGCAAGCGUUAAUCGGAAUUACUGGGCGUAAAGCGUUCGUAGGCGGUUUGUUAAGCAAGAUGUGAAAGCCCUGGGCUCAACCUGGGAACUGCAUCUUGAACUGGCAAGCUAGAAUACUGUAGAGGGUGGUGGAAUUUCCAGUGUAGCGGUGAAAUGCGUAGAGAUUGGAAGGAACAUCAGUGGCGAAGGCGGCCACCUGGACAGAUAUUGACGCUGCGGAACGAAAGCGUGGGGAGCGAACAGGAUUAGAUACCCUAGUAGUCC
rnacentral:rRNA from 1 species